rnacentral:lncRNA from 1 species
GAAACUUAAUUGCAAACGUUAAUGUAAAGAUAAUUUAAACUAAAUCAAUCCUUAUAAGCUUCAAUUCCGUACAAAUUUAAAAGGAUAAAAGACCACCAACAAAACACUUUUUAAGUUCAGUGAAAAAUGCUCUGCACAGACAUCUUCGGAAGAUAAUUUUUUUCAAAAAAAAAAUUAGUUAAGAGACUUGUUUAAAUUCCAUUUUUAGUCCAAAUUUCUCAUAGAUUUUUUUUAAAACAUUACCAAUCAUGAAAUAACCAGUGCAAUNAAUAUCGAGCCGAACACGAGUCGAACGCGAGCCGGCUCGCUCGUUUGCCAACCCUAGCUACAAACUCUUUUAAAAUUUUGAUUUUAUCAUCCAACCUUUCAAUACAUUUGAUUUCGAUCAAUCAUAGGCACCUUGAUUUUAAGCUUUAAGCUAAUUACUUUACUAAAUUUAAUAGUUGUAAAAAUUAUAUGAAAUAUACUAAUGUAACUUAUAAAGAUAAGUGAUAAAGAUAAAUGACACACAAAUUUUAAAAUCCAAAUGCCGUGGACCGACUCAAAUCAAACAAAUUUAAAGAUUACAUAGUAAAAUUAAAAAUUUUAAAGGUUGAAUAACCAAAUCAAAAUAGCUCAUAAAGAUAAAUUCUAUACAUAUUUAGCAAAAAAAAAAAUACUAAAAUGUAACAGUUCCCAACCUAUAUCUAAAUAAAACAAAGGAAAAAGUAUAGAAGGUUAAAUUACACUUACGGUCAUCAAACUACUGCGAUAUGUGUGACAUUUUAGUCCUCAAAUUUAAAUUUUUGUUUGACUUUUUAUCUUAAAUAUUCUAAAUUAUUACAAACUAAUUUAAUUGGCUAACUAUUAACAAAUUAUUAAUGUAAAAACAAUGUGACUUCUUAAUUAUUAUUACAUUAUCAAUCACAAUACUACUUCCACAUUAUUUUUACAUUAAUAAUUUGUCAAUAUCUACCUACAUAAAUUGUAUUGUGAAACUUAAUUGCAAACGUUAUGUAAAGAUAAUUUAAACUAAUUCAAUCGUUAUAAGCUUCAAUUCCGUACAAAUUUAAAAGGAUAAAAGACCACCAACAAAACACUUUUAAGUUCAGUGAAAAAUGCUCUGCAGAGACAUCUUCGGAAGAGAAUUUUUAUCAAAAAAAAAAAAAAAAGUUAAGAGACUUGUUUAAAUUCCAUUUUGAGUCCAAAUUUCUCAUAUAUUUUUUUUUAAAACAUUACCAAUCAUGAAAUAACCAGUGCAAUCACAAGGAAUAGCUAGAUGAUCAAAACUUCCCAAACACUUCUACAAUCCAGAUGUGAUGUAAAGAGACUACAAAAAGUAGAGAGGAGAAUAAGCGCUCACA